rnacentral:lncRNA from 1 species
UUUCAAUUGAAGCUAAUCUCGCCUUAAUGGCCUUCAUUUUCCGACCCAUUUUGAGACCAUAAGCAAAUUGGUUUGAGGUUGAGAAGAAAAGGCGUACCUCUUUCGUCAGCUUGUUCCCACCCGACAGAUUUUUCCGCAAAGCUUCAGUAGAGAAAUCAUCGAGCAAGUCGUCGGCAUCAUAAAGUACAUGUUUCAGCUCUUCAAGCCAAACUUUGACGAGAUUGUCGGUCACCGAUUUCUCUUCAGCAUCAAGAAGCAAAGCUUUGAUUUGACAGACAGUGCGUCUGAGGUCGUGGAUGUCAUGUUUGAGAUUCCACCACAGCCCAACUUGAGAGAGAGCACGAGAGCUCAACUUAAUAAUGAGCUCUGCGGCAAUGUCGGAAGCAAUUGCUUCGGCCAUUGUUGGUUCGAACUGAAAUCAAGGCAAAAAGUGUUUGAUUCGUGAGAGAGGAGGACUAAAAUGAGAACAAUCCCAGCAAGAUGAAACACAGAUGUGGAUCCAUCCACCCAGCAAGUAGUAUAAUUAAAUAAAAAGUAAUGUUGAUUGGUGGGAAAUGGUCCCUCCAUGUUUACUGUUUGACACAAAUUUCUGAAUGGAGACAAAGUUGAGAUGAUGACACUAGGGGUGCUCUGCACAACGUACAAAUAAUUGAAAUUAAUGAAAAAGCUAUGAAAGAAAAGAGAAAAAGGAGACAAAUCCCAUGGAAUCCAAGGUGUUUUGAUUGACGCCAAUGCAUUCUGGUCUUUCUAAGGAUGGGUUUGGAUGGGCGAUUGGGUGCGGUGCGGUGCGUUUAACUUACUUUUGGUGUCACGCUACAGUAUCGCUACAGUAUUUAAUCUCACCACCACCUCUGUUUUUACACUAUCCACAGAUAAACGCACCGCCAAUCCAAACUCAUCCUAAACCUUCUUCCCACUUACUUUUGUGUAAUUGAGUGAGUCUCAAUACUCGGUUCUAACUUAAAUUUAAUAUUUUAUUUUUGAGUUUAACUUCGGUUAAAUAUAUAAAAUUAAAAUUAAAAUUCAUUGGCCAUUAGAAUCAAAUAUUAUUAAAUUCGAAUAUGAUUAAAUCAAUAAUUUAAACAUAACUUAUUGACUACUAAAUCAAAUUUAAAUCUUUUUCGAAUCGAAUUUAAUUAACUUACAAAUAUGAUUAUCAUGUCCUCCUUGUGAAAACUAAAGCAGUUGACAGUGCUAGUACAAUCUGCUUCAAAAAUGACAUUAUCGACUUUAAGAAAUUGAGCAAGCCGAAAACCAUCGAUGAGGGCAUCUAAUUCUGCUUUAAUAGUGAUUUUUUAUUCUCAUUUUAUCGGUAUAUUUACAUUUGAAUUCAAAUACAUAUUCUAUAAUUAACUUUAAUCUCACUGUUACAAUACUUAACCUCACUAAAUUACUUGUUUAACAUAAUUAUGGUGAAUUUAUAGAAAGAACAAUCACGAAGCAAAUGUAGAUGCACUUAUGUUUAAAAUGUUAUUAAUGAAAAUUUUAUUAUUUUAAAAAAUAAAAGUAUAAUAACUUUUUUGGCAUUCUAACUUUAUAAAAGAAUUAUUUUAGCUCUCUAUUUAUUUUCCUUCUUUUUUAGUCUUUCAUUUUACAUUUUUUUGUCAAACCAUCCAAAAUGGGUGAAAAAGUUGACGUUAAUUAACUUUGUUGACAUGACAUAUAGGUAGAUUACCACGUGUAUGUCACUUUAGCAAUUAAUUAUUUAAAAAAUAUUAAAAAAAUAUUUUCUUAUAAAUUUUAAAAUAUUUUUUAAAUUUUUUUAAAAUUUUAAAAAAUAUUUUAUUGCUUAUGUGGCAUAUACGUGGCAAUCUGCGUGUAUGUCACAUCAGUAAAAUCAAUGGACGUUAAUUUUUCACUCAUUUUGAAGUGAUUUGACAAAAUUUACAAGUUUAAGAACUAAAAGAAACGAAAAAUUAAAUGGAGAGUUAAAAUGACUUUUUCUAUAAAGUUGGAGACCAAAAGAAUCAUUAUGGCAAAAAAUAGUUGUCUUUCAUCUCUCUCUCUCUCUCUUUUUUGGUUAUUUUUUAGUGUUAAAAUUCAAGAUGGUAUGGAAUAGUUUUUAAUCUUAUUAUUGUUAUAUAUAUAUAUAUAUAUAUAUAUAUAUAUAUAUUUUCGAUCUCAUUAGAGUUAAUCUCACUGUCAAUAUAAAGAGAGCCUAAAUAUAAUUUGUUCAUCUUCUUUUAAACAUGUUAGUGCUCCUUUGUAUGAUCAUUUACCUCCUGUAAGUAGGAUUGAGUAAAUAAAAUAAUUAAAAAUCGAUUCAAAUCAAGGUGUUUAGACGGUUUACAGAAUACAAAUUAAAAAAUCACAAUUAUCCGAAACUAAAUCAAAUUCUAUUUUUUAUUUAAUUUAUAAAUAAAUUUAUUUUUUAUAAUAUAAAAAUAAAUCUUUUAUAUUUAAAAAUAGUGAAAAUAAAUAUAUUUUAAAAAUAUUAUAUAAAAGUAUUUGAUUAUUUUUAUUUACUUAGAAAAAAUUUAAAAAUAUCUUUGAUAUAAACUUUCAAAAUUUUUCAAAUGAUAUUUAAAAACUGUAAAAAAAAAGUUUAUUUCAUGAAAAUAAUUAUAAAAAUUUAUAAUAAAACUUUGAACUAAACUAAAUUAUAAUGGACGGAUUAAAAAAUAGAAUCGAAUUAAACAAAUAUCACUUGAUUUUAUUGCACUAAACUGGACAUAAAAGAUUUUCUUAAAAAAUUUAACCUGCAAUGAGAUUGUUUUUCUCACUAUAACCUUCUAGAGGUGUUAUAUAAGUACAUACCAUUGAUAAUUAUAAAUUUAAUUAUUUAAUUGUUAUAAAAAUUAAAUAUAUUACAAAUUAAUAUUUAUAUAAUGAUAUAUUGAAUACAUGUAAAUUUAUUAUCAUAAAUAUAUUUUUAAUUAUUAUUUAAUAUAAAUAAUUUUAUUAUAUUUUAUUAUUUUCAUUUAUAUAAAAUAUAGAAUUUUAAGUUUAUAAUAAUUUCAAAAAAUAUAUAAUUUUCAUAAUCAAAUUUUAUAUGAAUUAAAUCUAAAUAAGUAGAUAUGUAAUAAUCAAUAAAAAAUUAAUAAAAAUAUAUUUAUUAAUAAAUUUAUUAUUUACCAUGAUUGCAAAUUUAGUAUAUAUUAUAUUAUUUAGUGUUAAAUAUAAUCUUUCAUUUUACAAAUAUAAUUUAACAUCCUUAAUAAUCAAUUUAAGGUGAAAACACCUCUCUAGUCCCUUUCAAUUUUGAUAUCAAGCAAAUUGGUCCUUUUAAAAAAUUUAGAACAAUUUUAUCAUUGUUAAUUUUGAAAUUGAGCAACUAAGGAUAAUUAAUCACAACGUUAAUAUUUUUGUCAUCUAUACAUAAUUUUAUAGGUAUAAUAACAACUUUAGCCCUAAAAUUUUACACAUUUUGUCAAUUUAGUUCUAGUUUAACAAAAUCAAAUUGCAACAUUUACACAUUAUGUACGAACUGAAUUUGUUAUUAUACUAAUCAAAAUUAUAUACGAGAGACAAAAAAAUAUUAACAUUAUUGUUAAUUGUCCUUAGUUCACUUUUGAAAUUGAUAGGGAUUAAAUUGCUCCAUUUUUUUAGAGGGGCCAAUUUGCAAAAUAUUGAAUUUAAGAGGGAUUGAAGAGGUGUUUUUAUCCAUUUUUAACCUCACCUCACUACUACAAUUGUUAUUGAAUCCAAAUAUAUAUCCAACACUGAUUAUUGUCACAUCACUAACGUAUUCAAUCUCACUAUUACAACAACUAAUUUUACCACCAACGUUAUUUUUAAUUUCUUUAGAAUUCAUCCAAUUAUACAUCCAAAGAAAACCAUAAACUUAUCUAAAUAAUUGUUAUAAAAAUUAAAUAUAUUACAAAUUAAUAUUUAUAUAAUGAAUACAUGUAAAUUUAUUAUCAUAAAUAUAUUAUUCAUUGAAUAUUAUUAUACGUGAUUUUAUAUAUUUAUUUUUUAUUCACUGAAUAAUAUAUUUUUAUUUUAUGUAAUUAAUACAAAUAUAAUAUUAUUCAAAUUGUGGUACAUAAUUAAAAUAGUGUAACAAUAAAAAAUUCAAACAUAAAAGUUUGGAAGUAAAUAAUAAUGAAAUAAAAUUUUUAGUGAUUUUAACUACUAAUUUAAUAAAAAAUUAAAACAUACUAUUCUUAUGUAUAAUUUAUAAUUUAAUAUAAAAUAUAAUUUUAAUUAUUUUUAAUAUAAACAUAGUUUUGAUAUUUUUAAUUAUUAUUUAAAAUAUUUUAUUAUAAUAUAUAAAUUAAUAUAUAUAUAAUAUAAAAAUCUAUAAAAGAAUUCCAAAUUUCAAUUAUUAUAAUAUAAAUUUUAUAUCUAAAAAUCCUGAAUUAAAUUAAAUUAAUUCAAUUGAAUUGGACAAACAAAUUCGACCGAAAAUCAUUUGAUAUGAUUGGUUGGAUUACCAAUCUAAUUUUAAAAACCUUGACCAGGACAACAUCAAUAUGUGAAUUUGUUUAAUAUUGUUUAUUUAAUAAGUCUAAAUUUUGAGCAUCUAAAAUGUUAAUAAAAUCUUAUUUCUAAUUAUUUUCAUACAUUGAAUAUGUCAUUUCACUUUGUUAGAACUUGUUUAAAAGAAUAUUGUAUGCUUCAAUGGAAGUCACAAUUUUACGGAAAAAUUUCGUAAAAAUUUCGUUCGAAAAUUUCGACGUUUGGGCACUCAAUUUAGUCAAAAGGACUAAAUUGUAAAAAGUGCCAAAGUUGAGUUCUACAUGUUAGAAGUGUCUAAUUGUUAUGAGAUUAUAAGUUGGGGGUCCUUAUGUGGUAAUUAGACCAUUAGUUAAUUUAUGGACAAAAAUAGACAUAAGAAAUGGGUGAAAUAUAUAUUUUUUAAGUAGGGGCAUUUUAGUCAUUUGGUAAUAAAAAGAAUAAAAUGGGAAAAAGAUGACAAAAAUCAUCAUCUUCUCCAUAAGUUGCUGUCAAAUUUGAAGAGUCACCAUAGCUAGGGUUUCUUCACUUUCUCAAGCUCAUAGUAAGUGCAUCCUAGCCCUGUUUUUAAUGUUCUUCGCAUUUUUGGAAUCCUCGUAGCUCGGUUUAGCUUAUUCUAUCAAUAAUUCAUGUUAGGGUUCAUAUUUGGAAAAAUAUCCAUAGGUGAAAUGUGUUUAUUUUUCUGUUUUAUGGUAGAAUAUGAAGCUAGAAAUUAUGUUAAACAACUUUUGCUAAGUGAUUUUAAGCAAAAACGAGUAAAUCGACAUAAUCGGUAAAAAUAUUUAUUGUUCAUAAGUGUAUGUUAGAGUGAGAAUUUGAUGUUGCCAUAGAAGGGAAAAGUGUUCAGCAUGUUGUAAAACAUAAGAAUAAGGUGUGAAAUUUAAUUUUCGAGCUUGGGGACAAAAAUGUAAUUAUGCAAAAGUUUAGGGGCAAAAUUGUAAUUUUAUAAAAGUUGAGUCGAAGCUUGUUUUAAUAAAUGUGAAUAUUAAACAAGCUCAAUUUUCUGUUAUAGAUCAAGAAAGAUGAGAAAUCAACCUUAAUCGGGGAAAAGAGAAGAUUGAGGAUUAAAUUGCAAAAUCUUUACAUUUUGUAUCGAGGUAAGUUGUAUGUAAUUAAUAUUGUUAUAAUUGUUUUCGUUAUAUUUUGUGACAAUAUACGUGAAAGGGUUGAUAUUAUAAUGUGUUUUGAAUGAGUUGUAAAUAUAUUUGGAAAGUAAGAAUCUUUGUGGAAAUGUCGUAAUGCUAAAGAUUUGAGUAAGGUAUCGAUGAACACGUGUGUAGUAUUGUGUGAAGGCUACUACGUGUAUCGAUAAGUAAUGUUCACAUGGGUAGUACUAAGUGAAGGCUACUAUGUGUACCAAGAAGCUUUGAGCACGUGUGUAGUACUGUGUGAAUGCUACCACGUGUCUCGGUAAACUACGGUCACAUGUGUAGUACUAAGUGAAGGCUACUAUGUGUACCAAGAAGCUUUGAGCACGUGUGUAGUACUGAGUGAAGGCUACUACGUGAGCCGUAAAACUUGAUCACGUGUGUAGUACUAUGUGAAGGCUACUACGUGAAUUGUAAAACUGAUCACGUGUGUAGUACUAUGUGAAGACUACUACGUGUAUCGAAUGAUAAAAAUAAUAUGAGUAGUACUAUGUGAAAAGCUCCGAAUAUUAUUUUAUAUAUACCGUCAUGAUGAUGAAAUUUGAGUAUGUGAUCGGAAUGUAAUAAGUUGUGAAAAUCGAUUGAAGUGAUGAAAUUUGCGUUGUGUUAUAAAAUAAGUGGUUAUAGUGCUAUGUGAAUAAGGAAUGUUGGAAUAGAACAGAUUUGGACAGUGACAGUGAUGUUAGUUUGAAAAAUCACCAAAAACUAUAAAAAUUGAGUUAGAGGUUGAAUAAUAUAUGAGAUUGAAGCUGAAUGAAUCUAUUUUCAUAUGGAAGAAACAAAGCAAGCAAAGGAGUUGUAUGUUUGGAGAUAUUUAAACUUUAUUGAGACAGGGUUGGAUUGAUUUCGAAAUCCCAUGUUUCAACUUUGGAAAAUCACCAAAAAUUGUAAAAAAAUAAUUAUGGCUUGAAAUUUAUAUUCUUGAAUUCCUUAAUGAGUCUAUUUUUAAUAGAAAGAAACAAGAACAUUGUUUAAAUUUUGUACAAAGAGUUAAAUAAAUUUUAGUGAAGAGAGGUCAGAAGUGUCAAAGAGUGAAACAGGGGAACAUUUAGAGAAUAAACUGUACUAAUUGGCUAAAAAAAAAUUCUGAAAAUUUUAUGGUAAGAAUAUAUGUGAGUCUAGUUUCAGAGAAAAUUUACGGAUCUCAAUUCGGAGUUCUGUAUCUCCGGAUAAAAAUAAUUUACCGACUGUGAUGUAGAAAAACAGUUUGUUGGAAGUUGACUAAAUGAUAGAUUUAUGUGUGAUAGAAAUGAUAUAAUAUAUGAUACUAUCUUAGAAAUUUAUUUAUCGAUUACAUACAUACUUACUAAGCUGUAAGCUUACCCCUCUUUAUUUUUCCUUUGUUUUAUAGUGAUAUUAAUCAACUCGGGAAUUGGACGGAGUUAGAACAUCAUCCUCACUAUCAUCACCAACUUUUGGGUAUUUUGCAAUCAAUACUUUUGAAAAAUGGCAUGUAUAGAUGACUUAAUGCAAUGUAGUUUAAACUUAUAUAUAUAUAUAUAUAUAUAUAUAUGUAUAAAAUAUCGUUUGGUUUAAAAUGUCGGUAUCUAUAAUUGAUGAAUUAUUUCCUUAAAUCUUUUGUUCAUAUAGUUUAGGAUGUUAUGGAUGAAUUAAUCAUGUCAGAACAUAUGAUUGUGUUUGGUUGAAAUAUCGAUGUUGCUUGAGAUUGUGUUUCGAAAAUUUGCAGGAGGAAUUGAAUAUUUAUGAAAAGAAACUAUGUCAAAAUUUUUGUAAAAGAAAAAAAAAAUUUGAUCGCUUGAUAACACUUCUCGCCUUGUUUCGACGAUGAAUACGGGUAAGAGGUGUUGCAAUAAACUUAUCUAAAUAAUUGUUAUAAAAAUUAAAUAUAUUACAAAUUAAUAUUUAUAUAAUGAAUACAUGUAAAUUUAUUAUCAUAAAUAUAUUAUUCAUUGAAUAUUAUUAUACGUGAUUUUAUAUAUUUAUUUUUUAUUCACUGAAUAAUAUAUUUUUAUUUUAUGUAAUUAAUACAAAUAUAAUAUAUUCAAAUUGUGGUACAUAAUUAAAAUAGUGUAACAAUAAAAAAUUCAAACAUAAAAGUUUGAAAGUAAAUAAUAAUGAAAUAAAUUUUUUAGUGAUUUUAACUACUAAUUUAAUAAAAAAAUUAAAACAUACUAUUCUUAUGUAUAAUUUAUAAUUUAAUAUAAAAUAUAAUUUUAAUUAUUUUUAAUAUAAACAUAGUUUUGACAUUUUUAAUUAUUAAUUAAAAUAUUUUAUCAUAAUAUAUAAAUUAAUAUAUAUAAUAUAAAAAUCUAUAAAAGAAUUCCAAAUUUCAAUCAUUAUAUUAUAAAUUUUAUAUCUAAAAAUCCUGAAUUAAAUUAAAUUAAUUCAAUUGAAUUGGACAAACAAACUCGACCCAAAAUCAUUUGAUAUGAUUGGUUGGAUUACCAAUCGAUUUUAAAAACCUUGACCAGGACAACAUCAAUAUGUGAAUUUGUUUAAUAUUGUUUAUUUAAUAAGUCUAAAUUUUGAAGCAUCUAAAAUGUUAAUAAAAUCUUAUUUCUAAUUAUUUUCAUACAUUGAAUAUGUCAUUUCACUUUGUUAGAACUUGUUGAAAAGAAUAUUGUAUGCUUCAAUAGAAGUCACAAUUUAUCUUUGAUCAUGAUUGUUCGCAACUGAGCUACUUAGUAAAUUAAAAAUCAGACCUCGACUAUGUACUGUAAGUGCAUUUUCCUACAAACUUUACCCUAUGAUUCAUUAGCCAAAGGUAUUCAUCCCAUCCCCCAAAGUCAUGAGAUAGAUUUGUAAGCUUUGUUUAUGUUAUAGUUAAGGUGGAUGUGUACGCUAGUGUGUGAGUUCUAAAUUAUAUUGUACAAAAAACAACCUAAAAAGAAGACAAAAGAAGACAUUGGAUAUAGGUAUAGCUGUUUUGUAACAACCUAAAAAGGGUCGUAAUUGCUGCAGGGCUCCCGCAUUCUCGUAUCCUCAAUAUUUGAUAAUCGAAUGGAGCUCAGCUAAGCAUUCAACCAAUCAUAAGAUGAAGAUGUGGGAUUCAUUACUCAAUCUAGCAAUGUCUUCAAUUUUGUACAACUCAAUCUUCAAAUUGCUUAAUGGUUCUUGCGUGAAACCCUUCCAUUAAAUGAUAGUAGAUCUACAUAAUGUACUCAAAAUUGCUUGAUAAUUAGUUGUGCUUGUGUUGGAACCUUAUUUGAAACAUCAAAAGAGAAAAAUAUGUUUUGUCUUGAGUGGACACAUAUAUAAAUAAAACUAAAGAACACAACUAAGAUAUUUACGCAGCUUGAAACUUGUCCUACGUUUGCAGCGCCUUGUUCAGAGAUAAAUCCACUAUAUAUUUUCUAGUACAAAGAAAUGAUUUAUGCCCAACUCUCAAACAUUUGGUGUCACCUCACCUUUGUACAAUGAAGUAAACUCUCGCCCAAUUCACUUUAGCUAUACAAUUGAAAAUCAACACUCAAAAGGUGUAUAACAAUGACACUCAAUAAUAAUUCCUCGCUAUGAGCGCAUGUACUCCUUUAAAUCCACACAUCAUCCACUAAACAAAUCAUCUAUAUAUAAGCUCCAAAAUGCACCAAGCUUUACAUAAGCUCCAUGUAAAGUGGAAUAACAAAUUUUCAAAUGCAAUAUCACUGGACCUAUGUAGAAACACUUACUGUUACUAAACGCUACUGUAUAUCAUGUGCAUAAAUGGUGGCUCACAGCAAACCCAUUGUCCAUGCUUUUUCAGUGCGUUCAAAGUUUAUACAUUCUGUCAAUUUAGUUUUGAUUUAAUAAAUUUAGCCUACAAUAUUUACACAUUUUGUCAAUUUGAUUCUAGUUUAACAAAAUUAGAUUGCAACAUUUACACAUUAUGUAUGAGCUCGAUUUGUUAUUAUACCAAUCAAAAUUAUAUACGAGUGAUAAAAAAUAUUAACAUUGUGGUUAAUUGUCCUUAGUUCACUUCCGAAAUUGAUAGGGAUUAACUUACUUAUUUUAUUUUUAGGGGGGCCAAUUUGCAUAAUAAUGAAUUUGAGAGGAACAAAAGGUGUGUUUUUGCCCAUUUUUAUCCUCACCUCACUACUACAAUUGUUAUUGAAUCCAAACAGGUAUCCAACAAUAAUUUCAAUCACAUCACUAUGGUAUUCAAGCUCACUAUUACAACAAUUAAUCUCACCACCGCUGUUAUUUUUAAUUUCACUAGAGUUGAUGGAAUUGUCCAUCCAAUGAAAGUCAUAGACCUAUCUAAACACAAAUACAAAGAUAAAAACUUAUUUAGAUAUAAAUUGAAAAAUAAUUUUUAUUAUUUGACACAAUUAAAAUGUAAUUACUUGCUUGAUUGAUACAUUUGCUCAAAGGUAAUGUAGCCCCUUCCAUUUUAUUAUUUGCUUAAUUUUUUUUGUAUGUGAUAUUUUGAUCUGUUCAUAAAUGGAAUGUUUCAUGGUGGCUAAGUUUCUUAGGGGAUAAAUUAUGAGUAGCAUUAUUUGUUUGUGCAGUGAAAUUGUGAUGUCUAUAUUUUAAUCUAUUUCUGUAUUUGAUGAUGUAGUGGAGUUUUAAUAUAAUUGUAAUUGAUGGUUUGUUAGUUUUAUGUACCAUAAAUGCUAUAGUAAGAGAGUUUAAAGCCGAACAUUUAAUGUCGUGCUCUAUAUGAAGAAAGGUUGAUGAGUGUUAGUUCUUUUGAUGUUUUGCCUUUGAUGGAUGUUUGAAAAAUGAUUCAGUUGAUAUCCAUAAUGUCUACCACUAUAGUUUCCCCCUUAUGUAGAAUAUGACUGCUAGUAUGUCAGGCAAUAUUAUGUUCGUAUAUUAUGUUCUUUUUCUUAUUGUCUUCAACACGAUAACAAGUGAAUUACUAGUUACUUUACUUGAUUUUGUCAUGCCAUUUUUCUCUUUGAGUUUUGGCCUUUCUGAAUUAACUUUUGAAUCACGUAGUGAAGCAUUUCUGAUGGUUCUUAUGACUAACAGUAAGUUCUCUUAUACAAGCUCCCCUACAUAUGCAUUUCUUAAACUUAUGCUCUUUUCUUCAUUUCAGUUGGUUGUUAAUCUUGAUAUAACCAUGCACAAAUACUAAUACUAAGGGACCUUGUAAUUUUGCCUGCCAUUGGAACUACUCUGAAAUAUUGCUGAUUUUUCUCAGCAAUUAAAGAGGAAGAGCGCAGCAGACAAAAAUGAAGUUUUGUCUAGCCAACAUAAUACAAGAUGUGCUAUUCAACUUGUAGUUUGAUGUGUGCCAACAUAAGCAUCAACACACAAGUCAUACGUAUAUACAGCCAGGAAACCAACAUCUUUUGGAAGAGUCCUAAUCCAAGCAUCAUAAUUGAACAUAGUCUUGGAAUACUGUCUAAAAAAAUGGUUGUCUCAUAAUCAAUUGUGCAUCCCUGCAUUUGAAUGCUGUUUCAAACACUAAAAAAACAUAAAUGUGUUUUUUUCUGAGUUGACACUUAUUAUGCAACAAGGAAAACAAAGAGCACAAUUAAGAUGUUUACACAGUUCAAAACUAGUCCUACAUCUGCGGGGCCUUACCCAAAGAUGAAAACACUAUGAACUUCAUAGUACAAAGAAAUGAUUUAAGCCUAACCUCUCUAACACUUGAUGCAAUCUCAACUUCAACCUCACCACCAAAUAUUCCGAAGCAUCUUCCUUUUUUUCCUGUUUGGACCUUCAAUAACAAAUUUGGCUGGAACUCCAAACAGCUAAAAGAGUGCCCUGCAUCAAUAAAUAUUAUGAAUUUGAAUACCUCCAAAAGCCAGUUACCAUCUAAGAUAGUAAUCAGUUGGCAUAUAUUAAGAGAAAACAUAAAUACAUAUAAAGAUAUGAUAUGUAAGUACUUAAAUGAAGAAAGCAGAGCAUAUAGUACAACCAUUUUGCAGGCUUCAUAGGCCUCUCUCUCCACAUCAAUGAUUUUUUAGAAUUAAAUUAUUAGAAGCAAUCGUCAAGUUAUUAUUAUGAUUUAAAAGUAAAAAGAAAGUAGAUAAAUUAGCACCUCUUUUUAUGCAUAUAAAAUGAUUGAAGUUCACUAAUGCCUUUCUCCAAUGCCUUACUGCACAAAUCAGCAAAAAAUAUUAUGAAAGAUGAUAAGUAAAAAGUAGGAUGAAAACAAAGGGAUUUUAACAAGGAAAUUAACAGUAUCCAACUUCAAUGAAAAAUGGCAUCAGACCCCUCACUUGGAGAUUCAAUAUACCACUCUUAUUUUUCUUCAAAAAAAGAUAAGGUCAUCAUAAUAAAUAAAUAACAAAGACAGACCAACCUGAUACAUCCGAAUGUUGGGGAUGUGAGCAAUCUUUUGCCAAUCAGCGCCAAUGUCCUUCCGAUAUCUUUCCUCCAACUGAGGAAUUUCUCGUAUUUGUAAAUACUCCAAACCGGUUAGGCAACGCAUCUCGUCCGGAAGAGAUGUUAAAUUGGGCAAAUUGACGAGAUAAAGCUCUUGCAGAUUUGUUAGAUGUUGAAGCCACUCCGGAAGAUGCCGACACUUUGGAAUAUUUAGCAGCCGUAGAGAGCGUAGACUUGUAUGAUCUUGGAAUAUUUGGAUGCCAGCUCCAGAUAACUCCAGCUCCUUGCAGUCCUUUACUUCAAACUCUUCAAGGAAAGUGAGAUGUUGGAACACAGGAAAGAGUGACCUCAAUCCAUGGCAUUCACGAAUUUCUAAUGUUUUCAAUUGAACAAGAUGUUGAAGAGAAAUGAGGAGAGACACCAGCUUUGGAAUAUUAUCAAUCUUCAAUUGAGAGAGAUUCUUAAGGGGUUCCCAUUGCAUGCCCUCUAAAUCAACCUCCUUGCAAUCUCUUAUUGUUAAUCUUUUGAGGCUGGUGAGAUGUUCAAACACAGGAAGCAGUGACCUCAAUCGAUUGCAGUUCUGAAUUUUUAAUGUUUCCAAUUGAACAAGAUGUUGAAGAGAAAUGGGGAGAGACACCAGCUUUGGAAUAUUAUCAAUCUUCAAAUGAGAGAGAUUCUUAAGUGGUUCCCAUUGCAUGCCCUCUAAAUCAACCUCCUUGCAAUCUCUUAUUGUUAAUCUUUUGAGGCUGGUGAGAUGUUGCAGGCACUCAUCUAGCAUGUGAGUGUCCAGCCCCUCAAUGUUGUGUACAUGGAAAGAUUUCAAUUUGGAGAGUGGAAGAGAAGAGGUUGAAGUUGAUGGGGCCUUAGCAUUGAUGUUCAUCUUGAUAGUCUGCUUUAACGACCUUGAACUGGUAUUCGACAACAUUAGAUCUUCAUCGAGUGAUGGAUACAGUGGCAUCAAAGUCAAAGGGCAAUUUACAAUCCAUAAAGAGGAAAGACAAGGAAAUGCCAUGGUUGAUGUUCCCAUAACUGUUGUGUCGUCCUCGUUGGAAUCAUCAUCGAUUGGUUUUGUUGUCCUCCACCAACUCUUCAUAUUUGGGCAAUUCUCGAGGUGAAGACGCUUAAGCGAUGGGAAGAAUGAGUUAAUCUCACCACCAACAUUAUUUUUAAUUUUACUAGAAUUGAUCCAAUUAUACAUCCAAAGAAAACCAUAAACUUAUCUAAAUACAAAUAAAACUAUUAAAAAAACUUAUUUAGACAUAAAUUGAAAAAUAAAUUUUAUUAUUUCACACAGUAAAAAUAUAAUUACUUGCUUGAUUUAACCCAUUCAAUUUGGUCAGAUUGAAGGUUAUUCUUUGAUAAGAUAUUAUUAUUAUUAUUUGCUUUGGGCAAACUUAAUACAACUUGAUUUACUCUUUAUUAAUUAAAAGCAUUUUAUUUAUAUUUAAUUAUAAAAAUGUGUAUAUAUUAUUAAAAUAUUAUUUUUUAAUAUUAAAUGAAUAGUGAAAUAAGGUCAACUUAUAAGGGUUAAAGUAUUUAGGAAGUCCCUAUAUUAUAGACUGUAUCAAGUUAGUCUCUCAAUUUAAAAAGAAUCAAAUUAUAUCAAAUUGUAACAGAGUUAACAAUUUUCAAUACAUUUUUUAUGCAAUAAAUGUUAACUUUGUUGUAAUUUGGUUUUAUUUGAUUCUUUUUAAUAGUAUAGAGACUAAAUUGACCAUUUAAUAAUAAAGGGACUAAUUUGAUGUAGUCCCUAUAAUAGAGGUACUUUCACCCUUAUAUAUGUGCUUGAAUCUUAUUUUGGAUGAAAUUGAACAAAUGAAAAAGAUAAGAGUUGAAAAAGGUAAAAAUAAAUGAAAUUAGCACAUUAAAUUGUAAUUAUAUACAAAAGAUUCUUAGGUAUGAGUAGGAAAAUGGAUGCCAAACAUAUCGUAAGAUAAGAUGAAGCUUCAAUUUUGGUUUGCUGACAAUCUUCUUUUUUGGAAGUCAUAUCAAUUACGACUGUUUGAAUUUUUAACAUCUAGAGAUGAUUGUCAAAAUAUUAUACUAACAAAUUAGCCAUAAUCACUUAUUUAGCUCUCCAACUUUACAAUAAAAAUCAUUUUAGCUCUUCAAUUAAAUUUUUGUCUCUUUUAGUCCUUAACCUUGCAUUAAUGUUUAUCUAUUUUAGAGUGAUCUGAUAAAUAAUGCAAGUUUAAGGACUAAAUCGAUUUUUCAUAAAGUUAAAUAUAAUAGAGAAUUUAAAAACAAAUGAAAAUAUUUAUAUUUUAUUUUAUAUUUGUUUAAGUUCGGCCUGGUCCAAAAUAUAAACUUAAAAAAUCUGUUUAAAUUUGUAAACAGCUAACUCAAACUCAUUUUAAAUCCACUCGUUCUAUUUUUUUAAAAAAAUUAAAAUGUAUUUAUAUUAUUUUUAACUUAAUAUUUAAUAAUUUUAUAUUUUUAUUAAAAUUUUAUAUAUAGUCAUCUUAAUAUUAAUAAUUUUAUUUUUAAUAGUUUUAUUAAAAUUAAAACCUUGACCAGGACAACAUCAGUAUGUGAAUUUAGUUUCGUAUUUAUUUAAUUUGGUUAGCACAUAUUAAUAGUUUUCAUAGUCUCUUUAGUUUUUGUUUUUUUGGGAUUGUGUAAAAUUUAAAAUUUUAGAUAUUUUUAUGUUCAUAUUUUCUUUUAUAAAUAUAUAUAUUGUAAGCUCUCACUAAUUUUUUCAAGCUUUUAGGAGUUCCUUCUAUUGAAGCAAUAUCAUGAUCAAAUCUAUAAUCAGUAUAUAUGAGAAAGAAAAAAAAUAUAAAAUAAAAUAAAUUAAAAAUUAAAAAUAGACUUGGACACUUAUGGAUGUUAAAUUUAUAAUAAGUUCAAGUAAAAUGGCUAAAAUAAUCAAACUACCGUCUAACUCAUGCUAUGAAAACAUAUAAUCACAGUUAAAAAAAUAUUGUAUAUUUUGAUGAAAGUCACAAUUUAUCUUUGGUCAUGCUUGUUCGCAACUAAACCGCUAUAAUGUAACUACAUGUUCUUACAAAUCUCGCGCUAGUCGACUUUGCCCUAUGAUCCAUUAGUCAAAGGUAUUUAUCCGAUUGAUUUGUCAGUUUUACCUUUUUUAUACUUUUAAGUAAAUGUGUACGAAGUGUGUGAGUUCCAAGUUAUACUGUAACAAAAAUUGAAAAUACCUGACAAGACCAAAAUGAAACAAUUAAUACCCAAAAUUUUAUUCUUCAAUAUAGAAACUAAUGCACAACGAAAAUAAAGUUAGUAAAUUAGUAGGAGAUAAAAGAAGGGUAUAGAUGUUUUGUAAGAAGCUAAAAAGGGUUGUAAUUGUUGCAGGGCAUCCAUAUUGUCAUAUCCUCAACACUUGGUAAUUGAAUGGAGCUAAGCUAAGCAUUCAUUACUCUUGGAAUUGCUCAAUGGGUGUUGCGUGAGGCCCUUUCAUUAAAUCAUAGUCCACAUAAUGUACACAAAAUGGCUUGAUGGAGGGGCGAGAUACAACUAAAAAUAUGUCAGGGGAUAAAGCUAAUAAUUUAAGAAUUUUAUUUAACAAUUAAUGAAUCAAACGAUAUCAUAUUAUUAUAUUUUUAAUGAAUAAAUAAUUUAUUGUUUUAAUAAAGUGAUAUUAUGUGUGUAUAAUAUAAUUAUAUGAUACAUCAAAUAUAAAUCAUUAAUUUAUAUACUUAAAAGUGUGUUUUGUUAAUCUAAUGUGUUUAAAAAAGAAAGAAGAAAUAAUCCUCUUAAAUUUUAUAAUCUCGUCGUGUUUUUAAUAUGUUAGAAUCAAGUUACCAAUAUGAUGAGUACACAAGUAUUUACAAUUUAAUCAUGUCAAAUGAGAACAAAAUUUAAAACUUAAAUUGACAGCUACAAAUGAAAUAAUUUUAUUGAUAUAAUAUAAUACUUUCAAAUUUUAAUUAAAAUAUUUUAGAAUUAUAAAUUAAUUUUUAAAAAUUAAUAAUAAAUUGAGAAUAUUUAAUACAAAUAACUUCGUAUAUGAAUAUAAAUAGUUAUAACACAUUUAUUAUUAAAUGAAAAUAAUGUUGAGAAUCAAGUUACCAAUAUGAUGAGUACACAAGUAUUUACAAUUUAAUCCAUGUCAAAUGAGAACAAAAAUUAAAACUUAAAUUGACAGCUACAAAAAUGAAAUAAUUUUAUUGAUAUAAUAUUAAUACUUUCAAAUUUUAAUUAAAAUAUUUUAGAAUUUAUAAAUUAAUUUUUAAAAAAUUAAUUAAUAAAUUGAGAAUAUUUAAUACAAAUAACUUCGUAUAUGAAUAUAAAUAGUUAUAACACAUUUAUUAUUAAAUGAAAAUAAUGUUGUUUGGAGUUUUCUAUUUUUUCAUUAGCCAACUGAUGAUAAAAAUGAUAAAAUUGAAUCGUUGGGGUGACUACUAAGUAGGUUACCUUUUUUUAGGUUAAAAUAUGCCAUAUGUCCUUGUACUCACCAUAAAUUUGAAAUUUAAUCUCUAUACUUGUAUUUAUAGGAAUUUAAUUCUUUUACUUUUCAGAGUUCAAAUUUUAGGUCCAAUUGUUAAUACUGUUAAUUUUUUUUGUUGAAUUUGUUAGUGUGACUGUUUGAAAUAAAAAAAAACUUACUUGGUAGCCAUGUAACUAAGAAUAUGACAUUUUAAUGAACCUGAAUUUAAUAAAAUAAUUUUAACAGUAUUAACAGUUGGACUUGAAUUUUAAAAUUUAAAAAGUAUAGGGACUAAAUUCUUUAAAAUAAAAAUAUACAAACUAAAUUCUAAACUUACAAAUAUAUAUAUAUAGGACUUGGGGGAUUUUAAUUUUGUUAUGGUAAAUAAGGGGAAAUAGAGAAAAAAAAAAAGGCAAUUAAUAUGUGAACAAAAUCUACAUGUUUGCAAUUUCUAGAUAAUUUUGUGAUUAAUAGAAAUUAUUUUUCGAUUCAUUAAGGUUAAAAUUUUUUCAGAAUUUUUAUAGCAGAAUUUAAACCUUAUUUCUUCAAUUCUUGCAUCUUCGAUUAAGGUCCACUUAGCAAUACAAUUUUAGAGAUUAAAAAAGUUACAUUUCCAUAUAAUGUUUCUUGAGAAAUUUUUUUUCUUUUUCAAAGUUUCAUUAAUAUACAUGCAUUGUACGUGAUUUAUAUAUUUAUUUUUAUUCACUAAAUAAUAUAUUUUUAUUUGAUGUAAUUAAUGCAAAAAUAAUAUUAUUCAAAUUGUGGUACAUAAUUAAAAUAGUGCAACAAUAACAAAUUCAAACAUAAAAGUUUGAAAGUAAAUAAUAAUGAAAUAAAUUUUUUAGUUAUUUUAACUACUAAUUUAAUAAAAAAAUUUAAAACAUACAAUUCUUCUGUAUAUUUUAUAAUUUUAUAAUUUUAAUUUUUUUAAUAUAAACGUAGUUUUGAUAUUUUUAAUUAUUAUUUAAAAUUUUUUAUUUUAAAUAUAUUCUUAAUUAUUUAUUUUACACAUACAUACAUUUUAACUUAAUGUUCUUAAUAGUAAUUUUCUAUUUUUAUUCCAUUGCUACAUUUGCAUUUGAAUUUAAAUACAUAUUUCACAAUUAACAUUAAUCUCACCGCUACAAUAUUCAAACUCACUAAAUUACUUAUUUAACACUAUUAUAAAAAUAUAUAUAAAUAUUACUAAAUUAUCAAUUUUUAAUAUUAAAAGAACAAUGAAAUAGGGUCAGCGUGAAGAAAACUUAAAAAAAAAUUUGUACCCUAACCAAAUUAUAGACAAGUCUAUUGAUUAAUUUUUAAAAAAUAAUAUUUUAGCUUAUAUAAGAGUUAAAAUAUUUGGAAAGUUUAAAAUUAGUCUCUCUAUUAUUAAAUGGACCAAUUUUAUCACAGUACUAUUAAAAAGAACUAAAUAAGGUUAAAUUGUAACAGAUUUAACAUUAAUAGAAUUAACAAAUUUCAAUAUAUUUUUUAUAAAAUAAAUGUUGACUUUGUUAUAAUUUAACUUUAUUUGUAUGCAGUCCCUAUAGUACCGGUACUUUAACCCUUAUAUAUAUGUUUGAAGUUUAUUUUAGGAUGAAAUUGGAAAAUUGAAAAAAGUAAGAGUUCAAAAAGUAAAAACAAACGAAAUUAGCACAUUAACUUACAAAAUAUAUUUUUUAUAAAAUAAAUGUGUUUGGAACAUUAAAAAUGUGUUUUUUUUCCUGAGUUGGUACAUAUUAUUUCAAUUUUGAUGAGAAUUGUACUCUCACUUAACGCUUCAUGUCAUUCGCUUUUUCUUUUCUUUCCCUUUUUUUUUUUUUGUGUGAGAUCUUUUGAUCUGUUCUCAAAUAGAGCUUUUCAUGGUGGCUAAGUUUCUUACGGGAUAAAUUAUGAGUAGCAUUAUUUGUUUCUGCAUUGAAAUUGUGAUGUCUGUAUUUUAAUCUGUGAGGUAUUUCCGUUUGUGAUGAUGUAUUUGAUGAUAUAGUGGAAUUUUGGUAGAUUAAAGUGCUCGUUUGCUGUACUAAGUUGAAAUUGAAUGAAUGCUGGCCUCAUCCAAUGUCCAAAACUUGAUGACUUCAACAUUUUGAUGCCUUAAUUUGAGAAGACUAAGUUAGAGUACUAUAAAACUUUCUAAGAAUGCUGAUGAGGCAUAGAUCUAGUGAUAUAAUAUAAUUGCAAUUGAUAGUAUGGAGAAACCUAAGUUUUAGUACCAUCAAAUAAAAUUGCUAUUGCUAGUAUGUUUGUUUUAUGUAAUAUAAAGCCAUAGUAAGAGAGGAAGGCUAUGUUAUGCUAUUCCAUUCUCGGUUUAAAGCUGAACAUUUAAUGCCGUGCUCUAUAUGAAGAAAGGUUGAUGGGUGUUAGUUCUUUUGAUGUUUUGUCUUUGAUGGAUGUUUGAAAAAUGAUUCAGUUGAUAUUCAUAAUGUCUAUCCCUACAGUUUCCCCCUUAUGUAUAAUGACUGCUAGUUUGUCGGUCUUCGUAUAUUAUAUUCCUUUUGUGUGAAAUUCCAAACUGCGUAAACAUCUUAAUUGUGUUCUUUAUUUUCCUUGUUGCAUAAUAUGUACCAACUCAGGAAAACACACAUUUUUAAUGUUCCAAACAUCAAUGCUUGAGCUAAGGAAAUCAAAGUCUCCUAGGAGGAUUCUAGCCCAUCAAUUCCCUCUAUAUAUCAACAAUGAACCUGCAAACUGUAAAUAUCAAUAUACAGUAUGAUAAAAUUGAUCUCGUAUAGACCGAGCAGUGUCCAAAUGUAGAAGAAGCACUUACUGUUACUAAAAACAUAACUCCAUAUUUUGUGCACAAAUGGUGGCCAAACACAUAUCCGUUGUCUAUGCUUUUUGAUUCCAAGUUUAAGAAAGGGCCAAACAUUGGGCGUCCUCAUCCUCAUCUGUAAUAGUAACAAAUUCACAUUCCCAUUCCAAGUUUAAGGAAAUGCCAUGGUAACAAAUUCACAUAACUGUUGUGUCGUCCUCGUUGGAAUCAUCAUCGAUUGGCUUUGUCGUCCUCCACCAACUCUUCAUAUUUGGGCAAUCCCGUAGGCAAAGAUGCUUAAGUGAUGGGAAGAAUGAUUGUGGUUCUCCUUGACUUCCUUUUGGGCUAUUAUCAUCCAUGUACUCCAGCUUAGUACAAUCAUAUAUCUCCAGCCCUUUAAGACAAGGAAAUUGCGCAAAGGACGGGAUUUGUUUGAAAUUACUACCACUUAUGUCAAUUGUGACGAGAUUUUUGAGCAAAGGAAGCCAACUUGGAAACUUGCCAUCACCCCUCCAUCCUGCAAUACAGAGCUCCUUGAGAUUAGGAUGGGGCUGGAGGUCUUCAAGUGACUUCUCAUCGUCAUCAUCAAAACGAAGGCUCCAUUCUAAAAGCAACGAUCUCAAAUGUUGCUUCUCUUUCAAAUUAGCAGCCUUAAACUUCUCUUUUGCAUUUUUUACGAAUCCCAAAUUUGUUAUUUGUAGACGUCCCCUUAAGUUGUUAAGCAGUCUCAAUUCACUUAGAUCUGCACCGCCAUGGGACCCAUCUUUAUCCACUACAAACAUGCUUAACGUCUCAAGUGAAGUCAGCUUCCCUAUUCCACGUGGCAUAUGAGUUAAACUAAAACACUACGACACCCAAUAUGGGUAAGAUUCACCAAUUCUUCAAUCUUCUUUGGCAAUUCUUUAAGCCCAAAACAGCAGUCAAGUUUCAGCGCUAGCAAAUUCUGAAUCUUGCAAGUACUCUUUGGGAGAAUCUUAAUAUUGUAAUUGGAAGAAAGGUCAAGGUACCUCAAAUGUUUCAACUUACAAAUGGAGGGUGAAAUCUUUUGAAUACCUAUAGAAUAUAAUUUCAAUACACGCAAGCAUCUACAAUUUGCAAUUAUCAAAUCCCAACUUUCUUCACUAAAAUCUUGAUAUAUGCUGUUUGGAAAGUGUAACAAGGUUCGCAACUUCUUUCCCUUAAACAAAGGAAUUAAUGAAGGAAUUAAUAAAGGAUUAAUUGAUAUGUGGCGACAUUUUUCACCAACAUCACCUGCAAUUUUAUUUGAAUCUACAAUACUACUCUCCAUCCCUGCUACUGAUUCAGCUAGAUCUUGCAUUAAAUCAUGCAUUUUACAUCUCAUAUCCCCAAUUCCAUAUUCUUCUACCUCUUGAAAGAAACUCCUGUCAACUAAAUCUUUAAAAUACCCAAACCCGAUCUCCUCCAGAGAUUGACUUUGAUUCAAUUGCUUUAUGAAACCCUGUGCAAUCCAAAAUUGAACAAGCGCUUGCACUUGAAUUGUGUAAUCUGUUGGAUACAGUCGGCAAUAAGCAAAGCAAUGCUUCAAAUGAGACGGGAGAUGAUCAUAACUCAAUUUCAGUAUAGGUAGAAUUUCUCCUUCAAUUUGUGAAAUUUUAGCAAGUUCAUUUUCUUUGAAAGAAUGCCACUCAUUUGCAGUUUUCUUCUAAGAUAAUGUACCAGCUAUCGUCCUUAUGGCUAAGAGAACCCCACCACACCUUUCCGAAAUCUGUCUCCCUACUUCCACAAAGGCUGAAUUUGUUGAGUCUGCAUAUCCUUGCUCAAAUGCUAUCUUUUUGAACAAAGACCAAGCAUCAUCAUCAGACAAGCCUUUCAAUUUCAAAACAUGGGAUUGACAUUUAUUAGUUAUCUCCGCUACCCUUAGAGAUCGAGUAGUUACUAUUAUCCUACUCCCUUUAGCCCCACCCAUCAAUAACUUCUUUAGCCUAGAUGUUGAAGUCAGCUCCCAUAUAGCAGCAAAGGUGGCCAUGCAAGGAACGUGCUUCAGCAGCAAAUUGAUGCAGCAAGCUGAAGCUAUUCAUUUGGUUUCCUUAAUUGAAUGUUUUGUAUUUAGUUAGGAUCAAACUUAGUUGGUAGCUGCAUUUUGAUGUAAUUAGGUGCUGAAUGACAAGCUUAGGUAGAAGCUUUUUUGUUUUUCAAUCAAGUUUACCAAGUUACUAGGCAUUUUAGUGGUGUUAGGUAUGUUAGUAGGUGAUUACUUGUUUGUUUUACUUAUUGACUGAUAUAUGUAAUGGCUUAAUGCCUUGUUCAUGUGUUAAUGAAAAAUAUCAGCUCAUUUUCAUUCAAUCUCUUUCUCUCUUUUCUGUUUUCACUUGCUAGCUUCAUCUUUCUAUUUUUUCUGCUUCCGAGUUUGCUUCUUCACCAAGCCUCGAGCCUUACUACUCAAGCAAGACUAGAAACAGCUUGCUGCUGCCUCUUGCACCAACAAUUGGUAUCGAGAGCUCUUGUCUUAGUGGACCUGUUGCUUCAAAACAAAGAACUUGAUGGCUUCUUCAGGAUUUUCACCAGCAGCCCCACCAGUCUUCAAUGGAGAAGGCUUUCACAUAUGGCUGGUCAAGAUGAAGACUUACCUACAGGCUUUUGAUCUGUGGGAAGUUGUCAACACAGAUACUGAGCCAGCACCACUGAGGGCUAAUCCCACAGUAGCUCAGAUUAGGCAACAUGCUGAUGAGAGGACCAAAAGGCACAAAGCCAUGUCCUGCAUCCAGAACUGUGUGUCAGAUGUCAUCUUCACCAGAAUCAUGGCCUGUGAGACUCCAAAACAGGCCUGGGAUAAGCUUAAGGAGGAGUUUCAAGGCACUGAGAGAACAAGGCAACAGCAGCUGCUAAACUUGAGAAGGGAUUUCGAGAAUUUGAAGAUGAAGGAAGAAGAAACAGUGAAGCAGUACUCAGAUAGAAUUAUGGCAGUGGUUAACAGCAUAAGGCUCCUAGGUGAGCACUUUGAUGAGGCAAGAAUUGUGGAGAAAGUCCUCUCCACUUUGCCUGAGAGAUAUGAGGCCAAGAUAUCCUCUCUAGAGGACUCAAGAGAUCUUGCUAGCAUCUCUUUGACUGAGCUAAUCAACACCUUUUAUGCUCAGGAACAAAGAAGAGCUAGCAGAGCUGAAGAUCACCAAGAAGGUGCAUUUCAAGCCAAGGCCAGAGAAACCUCGAGCACUAAUGCUCAAAGAGGCAAAAGGCCUUGGAAAAACAGGCCUAAGCCUGAUGCUGCAAGGAGCAAUGACCAGCCCUGCAAAUAUUGCAAGAAGCCUGGCCAUCCAGAAGACAGAUGCUGGUUUAGGCCAGAUGCAGUAUGCCAACACUGCAAGAAGAAGGGCCAUGUUGAAAGGGUCUGCAAAAACAGAAGUAAGCCAAGGCAGAAUCAAUUUCAGCAGUCAAAGGUUGAAGCUCGAGUAGCUGAGGACAGUAGUGACCAAGAAGAACAGGUCUUUGCUGUUUCCUGUGUAGCUUCUGAGAAGAAAUGCUCUAAAGGCUGGCUGCUGGACAGUGGUUGCACUAACCACAUGUCACCAGAUGCCUCCUUGUUUAAAACCUUGGACAGAAGUUAUAAAACCAAGGUCAAGGUUGGACAUGGUCAGUUUAUAAGGGCUGAAGGAAGAGGAGAAGUGCUGAUAUCUACUCCCACAGGCAACAAGAUCAUUCCAAAUGUGCUGUUGGUACCACAGAUUGACAGAAACCUUCUCAGCAUAGCUCAACUGCUCGAGAAAGGUUAUUCUGUUGUGUUCAAGGAUAAACAAUGCCAUAUUACUGAUCCAAGUGGAUCAAGCCUUAUGACAGUCACAAUGACUGAUAAAUGCUUUGAGGUUCACUGGGCAAAUGACUCAAACUCAGCAUACACAGCCUCUGUUGAAGACUCCAAGCUUUGGCAUCAAAGGCUUGGACAUGCCAACUUCAGAUCAAUGGCUCGAUUGGCCAAAGAGGGCAUGGCAGAGAACUUCACCAGCUCAGUGGAGCAUGAUGAUGUGUGUGAAGUCUGCCAAAUGGGGAAACAGGCAAGACUGCCAUUUCCUACAAAUUCAGCUUGGAGAGCUACUGAAAGACUACAGCUGGUGCACUCUGAUGUAUGUGGCCCGAUGAGGACUGAAUCACUCAGCAAAAACAGGUAUCUCAUCCUCUUUAUUGAUGAUCUUACAAGGUUUUGCUGGAUUUUCUUUUUAAAACACAAGUCUGAGGUAGCUCAAGUGUUUGUGAAGUUUAAAAAUGCUGUAGAAACAGAAACAGGUUGCAAGCUGAAAUCGAUAAGGACAGACAAUGGCACUGAGUACACUUCAGCUCAGUUUCAAGCCAUUUGCAAUGAUGCUGGUAUCAAACAUCAGCUUACAAAUGUCUACACACCUCAGCAGAAUGGGGUAGCUGAAAGAAAGAAUAGAAGUCUGAUGGAUAUGGCCAGAUGUCUGCUGUUUGAGAAGAAACUGCCCAAGACCAUGUGGGCUGAGGCAGUAAACACUGCUGUUUACCUUCAGAACAGGCUUCCCACUAAAGCUCUUGCAUCCGAGACACCUUUUGAGGCUUGGUUUGGUUUCAAGCCUUCCUUGGCACACCUGAAGGUGUUUGGUUGCCUGUGUUAUGCACAAAUACCAGCAGCAAAGAGAGACAAGCUCUCUAAAAGGGCUCAACCAGGUGUUCUAGUAGGCUACAGCUCAGUCAAAAAGGGCUACAGGGUUCUGGAUCCCUUGACAAACAAAGUCCAAGUGAGCAGAGAUGUCAUCUUUGAUGAAAAAGCCUGCUGGAAUUGGGAGAAAAAUGAGCCAGAAGCAAUUUCAGAAGACCUAGUGACUAAUCAAGCUGAACUUGAGCAGCUAGAACCUGAAAUGGAUGUUGAUGAUGUGCCUGUGAGAGGCACAAGGCCCCUAGAAGAUAUUUAUGAAAGGGCACAGGUUGCAUUAGCAGAACCUAGCAGUUUUGAAGAGGCUGAGGCAGAUGAAGGUUGGAAACAAGCUAUGGUUGAUGAAAUCAACAUGAUUGUAAAGAAUCAGACAUGGGAGUUGGUUGAAAAGCCUGCCAACAGAAAGACUAUCAGUGUAAAAUGGGUCUAUCGAGUGAAGCACAAUGCAGAUGGAAGCUUAAACAAGCUAAAGGCCAGGCUAGUUGUAAAGGGCUUCAGUCAAAGGUAUGGUCUGGACUACAUGGAAACAUUUGCUCCAGUAGCCAGACUCGAUACAAUCAGAUUGCUGAUUGCAGUUGCUGCUCAGAACCAGUGGACAAUCCACCAAAUGGAUGUCAAGUCUGCAUUCCUCAAUGGAUUUCUAGAAGAAGAGAUAUACAUCGAGCAACCCCCAGGUUUUAUAAUGCCUGGUAAGGAACAAUUGGUGUAUAGGCUAAGAAAGGCCUUGUAUGGCCUAAAACAGGCCCCUCGAGCCUGGUAUGCUCGAAUUGACUCAUAUUUGGUCAGUUUGGGAUUUGAAAGGAGUGCUAGUGAGCCAACACUCUAUGUUAAGAAGAAUGGAGCUGAAACACAGCUUAUUGUGUCACUAUAUGUUGAUGAUCUUCUCGUGACUGGAGGAGACAAGCUUAUGAUGGUUGAUUUCAAAGCAAGAAUGAAGAAAAUGUUUGAGAUGUCAGACCUGGGAUUGAUGACAUAUUUCCUAGGAAUGGAAGUCAAUCAAAUAGAAGGAGGAAUCUUCUUGAAACAAAAGACAUUUGCCUUGAAAGUGCUGGCUAAAUUCUCAAUGGAGAAUUGUAAACCAGUGAGCACACCAAUGGCUAUUGGCAUAAAGCUAUCGAGCCAGGAGGAACAUGAAUCUGUCUGUGAAACAGAUUACAGAAGCCUUGUUGGGUGUUUAUUGUAUUUGACAGCAACAAGACCCGACAUUUUGUUUGCUGUAAGCAUGCUAUCAAGGUUCAUGCACUGCUGUAACCAGCAACAUUACAAGGCUGGGAAAAGGGUGCUAAGAUACAUUAAAGGUACCUUAAACCAUGGAAUACAGUUUAGAAAGGCUGAAGAGUUGAAACUGAUUGGCUACACUGAUAGCGAUUGGGCUGGUUCAAAGGAUGACAUGAAGAGCACUUCUGGCUAUGCUUUUACACUUGGCUCAGCUAUGAUUUGUUGGAGCUCAAGAAAACAAACAAUGGUGGCUCAAUCGACAGCAGAAGCAGAGUAUGUAGCAGCUGCCAAUGCUGUUAAUCAAGCCAUGUGGCUGAGAAAAAUUUUGAGUGACUUGAAUCUACAGCAGAAUGAAGCAACUGUGAUACAUUGUGACAACAAGUCAGCAGUUGCUAUUGCUAAAAAUCCUGUCUUUCAUGGCAGGACAAAACAUUUCAACAUCAAACUCCAUGUGAUAAGAGAAAUGGAACAAGCUCGAGAAAUUGAGCUAAUCCAUUGCAGUUCUGAAAAUCAGAUUGCCGAUAUCUUCACAAAGCCUAUUGGUGUAUCAAGAUAUCUAAGCCUGAAGAGGAAGCUAGGAGUCUGCUGCAUAGAAGCUGAGGAGGAGUGUUGAAGUCAGCUCCCAUAUAGCAGCAAAGGUGGCCAUGCAAGGAACGUGCUUCAGCAGCAAAUUGAUGCAGCAAGCUGAAGCUAUUCAUUUGGUUUCCUUAAUUGAAUGUUUUGUAUUUAGUUAGGAUCAAACUUAGUUGGUAGCUGCAUUUUGAUGUAAUUAGGUGCUGAAUGACAAGCUUAGGUAGAAGCUUUUUUGUUUUUCAAUCAAGUUUACCAAGUUACUAGGCAUUUUAGUGGUGUUAGGUAUGUUAGUAGGUGAUUACUUGUUUGUUUUACUUAUUGACUGAUAUAUGUAAUGGCUUAAUGCCUUGUUCAUGUGUUAAUGAAAAAUAUCAGCUCAUUUUCAUUCAAUCUCUUUCUCUCUUUUCUGUUUUCACUUGCUAGCUUCAUCUUUCUGUUUUUUCUGCUUCCGAGUUUGCUUCUUCACCAAGCCUCGAGCCUUACUACUCAAGCAAGACUAGAAACAGCUUGCUGCUGCCUCUUGCACCAACACUAGACCACCUUUCUGGGUCCUCAUUCCAAAUGUCAUCCAAAACAAGCAAAUAUUUUUUCCCAUCAAUUUUAUCUCGAAGUUGUUUUUGCAGUUGAUCCAUUUCAAGAUUUUGAUCAGGUGCUUGAUGAGUCACAGAUUUGAUAAUGUUUGCUACAAUAACUUUCACAUCAAAAUCAUCUGAAACACACGCAAACAUCGUUAAGUCAAUUGAAGCUAAUCUCGCCAUAAUGGCCUUCAUUUUCCGACCCAUUUUGAGACCAUAAGCAAAUUGGUUUGAGCUCGAGAAGAAAAGGCGUACCUCUUUCGUCAGCUUGUUCCCACCCAUUAGAUCUUUCCGCAAAGCUUCGGUAGAGAAAUCAUCGAGCAAGUCGUCAGCAUCGUAAAGUACAUCUUUCAGCUUUUCAAGCCAAUCUUUGACGAGAUGGCUGGUCACGGAUCGCUCUUCUGCGUCAAGAAGCACAGCUUUGAUUGUAGAGACGGUGCUUUUGAGGUCGUCAAGGUCAUGUUUUAGAUUCCACCACAGCCCAACUUGAGAGAGAGCACGAGAGCUCAACUUAAUAAUGAGCUCUGCGGCAAUGUCGAAAGCAAUUGCUUCGGCCAUUGUUGGUUCGAACUGAAAUCAAGGCAAAAAGUGUUUGAUUCGUGAGAGAGGACUAAAAUGAGAAUGAUCCCAGCAAGAUGAAACACAGAUGUGGAUCCAUCCACCCAGCAAGUAGUAUAAUUAAAUAAAAAGUAAUGUUGAUUGGUGGGAAAUGGUCCGUCCAUGUUUACUGUUUGACACAAAUUUCUGAAUGGAGACAAAGUUGAGAUGAUGGCACUAGGGGUGCUCUGCACAACGUACAAAUAAUUGAAAUUAAUGAAAAAGGUAUGAAAGAAAAGAGAAAAAGGAGACAAGUCCCAUGGAAUCCAAGGUGUUUUGAUUGAAGUCUUUCUAAACCUUCUUCCCACUUACUUUGUGUAAUUGAGUGAGUCUCAAUACUCGGUUAAAUUCAAUAUUUUAUUUUUGAGUUUAACUUUGGUUGAAUAUAUAAAAUAAAAAUUCAAUAAAACUCAUUCGCCAUUAGAAUCAAAUAUUAUUAAAUUCGAAUCCGAUUAAAUCAAUAAUUUAAACAUAAC